AAUCUACCCAAUGGAGGGGGAUAUCUCGAGGAAACUCGAAUUAUUACCGGAUAAUCUCCACGGAGUAAAGAGGGCCUCGGCUCUCGCCAUCGGAUGAGCCUAUGCAGGAUUAGCUUGUUGGUGAGGUAAAGGCUCACCAAGGCAACGAUCCUUAGCUGGUUUGAGAGGAUGACCAGCCACAUCGGGACUGAGACACGGCCCGGACUUCUACGGAAGGCAGCAGUAGGGAAUAUUGGACAAUGAGCGAAAGCUUGAUCCAGCCAUGCCGCGUGUGCGAUGACGGCCCUCGGGUUGUAAAGCACUUUAGGUAACGAGGAAAAGUUAGGUGUUAAUACCAUCUAACCUUGACGUUAAUUACAGAAUAAGCACCGGCUAAAUCCGUGCCAGCAGCCGCGGUAAUACGGAUGGUGCAAGCGU
rnacentral:rRNA from 1 species